rnacentral:rRNA from 1 species
AGAGGAGCCAAGCGUUGUCCGGAUUGACUGGGCGUAAAGCGCACGCAGGCGGCACCGCGCGUGGGGUGUGAAAUCUGGCCGCUUAACGGCCAGGCGCCAUCCCAUACGGCGGAGCUGGAGCGAUGCAGAGGUCGAUGGAAUUGCCGGUGUAGUGGUGAAAUGCGUAGAGAUCGGCAGGAACACCCAGGGGGAAACCAGUCGACUGGGCAUUUGCUGACGCUGAGGUGCGAGAGCGUGGGGAGCGAACCGGAUUAGAUACCCGGGUAGUCCACGCCGUAAACGAUGGCCACUCGGCCUUUGGAGGCGGAAUCUCCGUCUUUGGGGGCCUUAGCUAACGCGGGAAGUGGCCCGCCUGGGAACUACGAGCGCAAGCUUA